GUCUAUGGCCACGCCACCCUGAACGUGCCCGAUCCCGUCUGCCCUCAGAAGCUAAGCAGGGGCGGGCCUGGUUGGUACUUGGAUGGGAGACCACCUAGGAAGACCAGGUGCUGCUGUAGGUG
ensembl:rRNA 5S_rRNA 5S ribosomal RNA